CAGGCAGGUGGCAAGGCUGAUAAGGGCUGCUGCUCUCCAUAGCCCGCCGGCGGGGGGAGAAACGGAUGGUAGGAUUAUUUAUGAUUCCCGGGAAAGGCGGCUGGAUAGACACACCUGUUUGUACGUGGGAGCUGUGCCGCCUCCCGCCCGCGAACGGGACCGAGCCGCAGCUCGGGAGGGGCGCCGGGCCAGGGGCGCUCGGGUGUCCCCCAGGGGAGGCCGUCGCAGCCGCCUCCCGGCACGGAGCUGGCACAUCAGUUCUACGAGGUACGGAGCUGGUGCAGCCGUACACGGGCAGCCCUUACUGCUUGAAAUAAAGUAAAGCUUUCCCACAGCAGGCCUUAGACGCCGCUGAGGUUAAUCCCCGAACCUCGUGUUCAGGCAGGACCAGGAGUGCUGCCUGAAGAGUUUUCUCCUGUAGAAAAGUAGAGUCGUCAUUCAUGUCCGUAAGCCUGCACUUUAGAACGCUGCAUAAACUUAAUCUACAAAUGCAGUUGCCCAGUUACCACAAUAGAGGAAGGUGAGGAAUCAGGGAAGCCUAACACAAAAGUAGAAUUUGGCAUAUUUGAUAACUCCAAUGAGAUUCCUGAAGUUUUGCUCAUGUGCAAUGGUGGCUUUUCAUUAAUGCCUUUGAAGGCUAAUUCAGCCCAGUCCUCCAUCACCAUUGCAUUUAAGUGACAUAACCUGAUAUUCUCCUGCUUUAUUAUAACAAACACCAAAUUAUCUCUGUCUGAAUUCAAGGGACGCAAAACCCAGUUUCAUUGAAUCAUCAGCUUUAUUGAUUUAUUUAUGUAAGCUGCUCUCUUCCAGUUUUAGGGGUUUUGGGUUUUGGUGGGCUUUGUUUGUUUGUGGGUUUUUGUUUGUUUUGGCAUUUUGCUUGUUUGCUGUUUUGUGGUUUUUAAAUUACUGUUCUGCCUACUUAAGCAUGUAUACACUUUAAAUCAGCUUCUGUUAUGCUUAUACAUCUUGACGAGAUUCUUCAGCAGCAGCCAGUUACAUACAAGUAUCUUGCUUUUGGAAGAACACACUACAGAUGUCAUUACUGCAUAUUUCUCCCUUAAACUUACUGAAAUUGGAAGCAUGCAUUCUCAGUGGUCGUUUGAAUCCACCGGUGAGACUCAUCACAGAUCACUUCUGCCCUGAGGUCACCUGCCCAAACCCUAGCUAAUUGGUACAAAAAGAUAAUUAAAGACUCGGGAGAGUAAGACUAGUGUCCCAACAUGCUCAUCCUUAACAUCUUCAGCAAAUCUUGCUUCUUUCACAUAAAAAUCUCUUGAAAACACAGACUAAUAUCUACCUAUAUUUUCUGUUUUGGAUAGGAUAAAAAUGUUAAUCUUUUCCUUGUCAAAACUAAAGAAAGCCUAGUUUUUAAUUACACUGUUUUCUUCAUCCCUAAUGUUAAAUUCCCCAGAAGAUGUAUGUACCAGUAUUUGCUUCAAUUGUUCUUCUUUGUGAAAAGGGUUGUGAUGGUCAAAGUAAUUCAAUUCAUCCAGAGCUCCCUGGAAGAUUGCUGUGCAUUUUUAGCUUGCAAGUCUCUAAAUGAGGAUAAUUGAAAAUCAGAAGGGCAAGCUGGAUUAAACAUCUCCUCAGCCAUAUGUAUUUGUUCUGUCUCCUUUGCAGACAAUUCAUAUCACCAUGUUAUCUAAAUCUCUUUAUUUUUUCUCCUAAGGAUUUUUGGCAUAGACUACACUGCUUAUUUUGACACAUGAAGACAAAAUAUUUUAUAUUAAUAGCUCUUUCACCAAAUGCAUUUUUAGAAACUCCACAGCAAACAUCUUCAGCUAGAGUGAAUAAAUGUAUUUCAUCCUUGUUAACAGAUCACUCAGCUAUUCAUUGUGCAGUUGAAUUCUUGAACAGCUUUCUAUCAAGUGCUUCUUUCCAAAUUGCAAUAAAAAGAGUAACUACA